rnacentral:rRNA from 1 species
CGGAUUUACUGGGUGUAAAGGGCGAGUAGGCGGAUUGGCAAGUUGGGAGUGAAAUGUCGGGGCUUAACCCCNGGAACUGCUUCCAAAACUGUUGAUCUUGAGUGAUGGAGAGGCAGGCGGAAUUCCCAGUGUAGCGGUGAAAUGCGUAGAUAUUGGGAGGAACACCAGUGGCGAAGGCGGCCUGCUGGACAUUAACUGACGCUGAGGAGCGAAAGCGUGGGGAGCAAACAGGAUUAGAUACCCUGGUAGUCCACGCCGUAAACGAUGGAUACUAGGUGUGGGAGGUAUCGACCCCUUCCGUGCCGCAGUUAACACAUUAAGUAUCCCACCUGGGGAGUACGACCGCAAGGUUGAAACUCAAAGGAAUUGACGGGGGCCCGCACAAGCAGUGGAGUAUGUGGUUUAAUUCGAAGCAACGCGAAGAACCUUACCUGGUCUUGACAUCCCGAUGACCGGUCUAGAGAUAGACUUUUCUCUUCGGAGACAUCGGUGACAGGUGGUGCAUGGUUGUCGUCAGCUCGUGUCGUGAGAUGUUGGGUUAAGUCCCGCAACGAGCGCAACCCUUAUUGUUAGUUGAUACAUUUAGUUGAUCACUCUAGCGAGACUGCCGUUGACAAAACGGAGGAAGGUGGGGACGACGUCAAAUCAUCAUGCCCCUUAUGACCAGGGCUACACACGUACUACAAUGGCAGUCAUACAGAGGGAAGCAAAGCUGUGAAGCAGAGCAAAUCCCUAAAAGCUGUCCCAGUUCAGAUUGCAGGCUGCAACUCGCCUGCAUGAAGUCGGAAUUGCUAGUAAUCGCGGAUCAGCAUGCCGCGGUGAUACGUUCCCGGGCCUUGCACUCACCGCCCGU